GAUGAACGCUGGCGGCAUGCCUAACACAUGCAAGUCGAUCGGUAAGGCUCUUCGGAGUACACGAGAGGCGGACGGCUGAGUAACGCGUAGGAACACACCCUGCAGUGAGGGAUAAGACACCGAAAGGUGUUCUAAUACCGCAUACGGUCUUCGGAUUAAAGCAUUUAUGCGCUGAAGGAGUGGCCUGCGUCAUAUUAGAUAGUUGGUGAGGUAAUGGCUCACCAAGUCGAUGAUGUGUAGCUGGUCUGAGAGGAUGAUCAGCCAGACUGGAACUGAGACACGGUCCAGACUCCUACGGGAGGCAGCAGUGAGGAAUAUUUCACAAUGAGCGAAAGCUUGAUGGAGCAAUGCCGCGUGCAGGAUGAAGGCCCUCGGGUUGUAAACUGCUUUUAUAAGGGAAGAUUAUGACGGUAACUUAUGAAUAAGGGACGGCUAACUACGUG
rnacentral:rRNA from 1 species